AAUUAUUAUCGCUUCUUUUCUUCUCUUAUUAUAAAUAGGAACGUCAAUUGGUCGGAUUUGGAGCAGAUUUUUAAAAAUCUGAACCAGACAACUAAAGUCGCAACCUCCAUUCGGAUCCGAACCUGACGAAUUUUGAAAAUCUAUUUCUGAAUCGAACCCAAUCUAAAACCCAAAACACGAACACGAAAUAAUUAUUUUUUUUAUCAUAUUUCAAAACAUAUUAUAUUAAAAUUUAAAUUUUAUAAAUCUAAAUAUAAAAUCAGAUAUCCGUAUAUAUUAUAUAAUAAAAUUAAUUCGGGUUCGGAUCGGAUUGGAUGCUGACAAAAUCUAUAUCUAGAUCCAAAUUCGUCGAGUUUCCAUUUUUAUAUUCAUACAUGAUGCCGCACUUUUCAGGACGAUCAUCCAUUCUAGAACUACUUUAGCCGAGCACGCUUAACUCCCUUAAUUUUUUAGAUCUAGCUAUCAUCCAAAAUACUAUAAUUGCGUUAUAUGACCCUAAUUCAGUCGAGACUCAUCGCACACUUUUAGUUGGUGAUUGGUUUUGAUAGCAACUAUGAUGCCUCACUUUUCAAGGGGCUUGCCCAUCUUAA
rnacentral:lncRNA from 1 species